GUGGCUUAGCAGAGCUGACACAUGAAAGGACUGCAGUGGUAUGUGAACCAGGUUCAGGCUUGAAACCGUUUCUGUAGUUCAGUCCCAGAGAGCUGGAAUGAACAUUAACUCAGAAUUCAAUUACUCCCUCAUAAGCUCCAGUAGAGAUCCACUGGGAGACACUAUUACUAAACAAGAACACAAUGCUGCCCUUCUGGGGACAUCAUAGUAGGACACGCUUGUCCUCCUAAGCAUGCAUGUGUGGAUGGAAAACGUAAAAGACCUCCAGAUCUCAGCAGUGUGUUGUGUAAGCUUAUUGAAAGCUCUUCCCAUCCUUUCUAGAAACUUGGGAGCAAGUCCUGGUCCCAUAUGAACUGGUGGGAUCAGUUUCCUAAGCAUAUAGAAGCAUGCCCUGGGGAAUGUUCAUGCUGGAAAGGAAAAGGGUAGAGUAGGAUAAACAUAGAGGUCUUUAUUUUAUAGAAGGCAGUUUUUAGCUUCUAUGGGCAAGAGAUUUUCUAUUUACCUGUCCUUUGAUGGAGCAGAAACAAAAAUGAAGAAAAACAAUCUGCAGAUUGCUAAGUCUUUUUUUGGUAUGUGUCUUUCAGUGUAUCAGUUGGGGGAAGAACACAGACUAUCUUUACAGCACUGUAGAAGAAUAAUCUGCUUUUGGCCACAACUUGGAGUGUCUGAAGCUUCAGAUAUAAAGUACUCUAAGUGAAUGACCAUAUCUGCUAAUUAAUUGAGCCUUGAAAGACCAGAAUUCAUUCUGGCUAUGGUGGCUGUCUUCUUUAUCACUUCGUCUCAGUAAGCUGUUACUCCAG
rnacentral:lncRNA from 1 species